AACUUAUUAUAUAUAUAGCUGCUCAAGAACCAAAGUGGAGAGAAAGUUAAUAAUAUUAUAAGAGCUACCUAAGGAGCAGCCAAAGCCCUAAACAAAGGCGCAGAGAGAGAGAGAGAGAGAUGGAAUGGAGAAAAUGCUACUUGGAUGUCAUUCUUGUGCCACUAGGGUUUCUCAUAACUGUUUCUUAUCAUGCUUGGUUAUGGCAUAAAGUUCGGACUGACCCACGAUCAACCAUCAUCGGCAUAAACACCAGCGGACGACGAUUUUGGGUCUCGGCAAUGAUGAAGGACAAUGAAAAGAAGAACAUCCUGGCCGUCCAAACCCUUCGUAACACAAUCAUGGGAUCAACCCUAAUGGCCACGACAUCAAUCCUCUUAUGCUCCGGCCUAGCAGCCGUGAUCAGCAGCACAUACAGUGUGAAGAAACCGCUCAAUGACACUGUUUACGGAGCUCACGGGGAAUUCAUGGUUGCCUUAAAAUACGUUACCCUACUCACAAUUUUCCUCUUCUCAUUCAUGUGUCACUCGCUUUCAAUCAGGUUCAUAAACCAAGUGAACAUCCUAAUUAACACUCCACAAGACCCCAUGUCCUUGGUGACUCCAGAGUAUGUGUCUGAGCUUUUAGAAAAGGGUUACUUGUUAAACACCUGCGGGGAACAGGUUGUUUUAUGCAGCACUGCCUCUUGUGCUAUGGAUAUUUGGACCGGUUUUGGUGUUUUUGUGUUCUGUCACAAUGGUUCCCGUGCUUUACAAUUUGGACUUUGUGUUUAGUAGUAGCACUGAGAAGAGAAAAAUGGAUAUUGGUAAUGAAAAUAGGGAUGAAUUUGUAUGAAUUCGGCAUAGUCCAAAGUGAAAAUGUAUGGUGCAUGAAAGGUUCAAUCAUGCUGAAGAAAUUGUAGAAAUUAAAUCCAAGAAUUAUCAACUUUGAA